GAAUCAGACGUGGUGGCUGCAUUGAGGAA
rnacentral:piRNA from 1 species